AGUCCACAUCGACGGGGAGGUUUGGCACCUCGAUGUCGGCUCAUCACAUCCUGGGGCUGUAGUAGGUCCCAAGGGUUGGGCUGUUCGCCCAUUAAAGUGGUACGCGGGCUGGGUUCAGAACGUCGUGGGACAGUUCGGUCCCUAUCCGUCGCAGGCGUAGGAAAUUUGAGAAGACCUGUCCUUAGUACGAGAGGACCGGGAUGGACGUACCUCUGGUGUACCAGUUGUUCUGCCAAGGGCAUGGCUGGGUAGCUAUGUACGGAAUGGAUAAGCGCUGAAAGCAUCUAAGCGCGAAGCCAACUUCAAGAUAAGAUUUCCCACCGCAAGGGUAAGACCCCAGAAAGACUAUCUGGUUG
rnacentral:rRNA from 1 species